CCUCCCCCGCGCAUCCCGUCGACCCCGCCGCCACCUCUGCCCGCUCCCCGCAUCUCGCCCGUCCUGGCACCGAAUGCGCACACUUCCGCGCGGUUCCCGUCCUCCCCCUCCCCUCCCCCGCGCAGCCCGCAGGCACGCCGACCCCGUCGUCACAGCUGCCCCCUCCCCCACCUCCCCCGUCAUGGCGCCGCACGCGCACACCUCAGCGUAGUAUCCUAACUAAUUUUGCUGCGCGCCGCUGCCCCCCGAACUCGCCGCCACCGCAUGCGCCCAGCUACAAAGGUCAUCUCUUCGUGCCAUUUUGUUGUGCGGGAUCGACUUCCUCCUUCGCAGCCUUCUCCUUGGCUCGGCCAUGGUCUGUGCCACCGAGGUCAUCUCUGGAGUGUGCGGAGCUCUGGAGAGUGCUUGAAACGCAGUGAUUUGCCAGUUUCCAUUCCAAAUACCAGCAAGGAUAACACAUUUCUUGGUAUUUUCUAGAGCAGUUGGGACGAAAGGAUACGGCUUUGGAGCUGGGAAGGACAGUUGCUUAACCAUAAAAAUCAGCCCAUGCUCACUGAAUCUGUUUACUUCUGUUUGCAUUGAUUUCAUAGCAUCGUUUCUGUACAAAACCUUCUACAUGUAAAGAGCUUUAAUGUUAUGGUUGGUAAGCGGCUUUACCAUUUAACUGCAGGGAGGGCAGGUCGACGAGGAGGAGGGGAGAGGGGUCUUCUUCUCCAUAUAGGCUACUGGCCACCACUCGAUUCUACUGGUCUGAUUUGUGAACUGAGAAGUUCCGCAGCUUGUAAGGGAAUAUAACACUUAAAGUGGAUUGACAAGAGAGUAAGGAGGGUCCAGCUAGGAGGUAAGCAUUGCCUUCUAUGCAAACCAGGCAGUGAUUAAUUUGAACCUGUAUCAAGAUAUAUGUAGUGUGAGCAUUUGAAUAUGUAUUGCUUUUAUUUGAAAAUGUAAAGCACAUUACAGUGUAUACCUAAUUCCGUCUAUGUUUAUAGUGGCCUCUAUGAUAGUCUAAUUGUCGAGGAUCUGCUCUUUCCUAUCUUAGAAAAAGUUUCAUGAUAGGAAAGAGAACACACGGUUGCAUAAAGCCAAACUAAAACUUUUUACUGUACUA